CCAGCAGCCGCGGUAAUUCCAGCUCCAAUAGCGUAUAUUAAAGUUGUUGCAGUUAAAAAGCUCGUAGUUGAAGUUCUGAUUGCUCAGCUCUUCAGCCUUUAGGCGGAGAGUCUGACAGUCAUCCGCUUGCAAGCAUAUGUUCGACCUUUACCGGCCGGCUAUGUGAGUAAGCAUUUUACCUUGAGAAAAACAGAGUGUUCCAGGCAGGUUUGUCCGGGAUGCAUUAGCAUGGAAUAAUAGAACAUGACUGAAGUCUAUUUAUUGGUUUAAGGCUUUAGUAAUGAUUAAUAGGAACAGUCGGGGGCAUUCGUACUCAGCAGUCAGAGGUGAAAUUCUAAGAUUUGCUGAAGACGAACUAAUGCGAAAGCAUU
rnacentral:rRNA from 1 species